GAGAGGUGCUGCAUGGCUGUCGUCAGCUCGUGUUGUGAAAUGUUGGGUUAAGUCUCGCAACGAGCGCAAUUUUUAUCGUCUGUUGCCAGCAUUAAGUUGGGCACUCUGACGAGACUGCCUGGGUUAACCAGGAGGAAGGUGGGGAUGACGUCAAGUCCUCAUGGCCCUUAUGUCUAGGGCUACACACGUAAUACAAUGGCGCGUACAAAGGGAAGCGAACUCGCAAGGGGGAGCAAAUCUCAAAAAGCGCGUCUCAGUCCGGAUUGGAGUCUGCAACUCGACUCCAUGAAGUUGGAAUCGCUAGUA
rnacentral:rRNA from 1 species